CAGCUGAUCUGGCUGUGACAUCUGUCAUCCCACUGAUCACAAUGGUUGAUUCAGCUGAUCUGGCUGUGACAUCUGCCAUCCCACUG
rnacentral:snRNA from 1 species